AAUGGGCGAAAGCCUGAUCCAGCAAUGCCGCGUGUGUGAAGAAGGCCUUAGGGUUGUAAAACACUUUCAGCAAUGAAGAAGUGCUAAUUGCUAAUAUCAAUUAACAUUGACGUUAGUUGCAGAAGAAGUACUGGCUAACUCUGUGCCAGCAGCCGCGGUAAUACAGAGAGUGCGAGCGUUAAUCGGAAUUAUUGGGCGUAAAGGGUGUGUAGGUGGAUGAAAAAGUUAAAUGUGAAAUCCCUAGGCUUAACUUAGGAACUGCAUUUAAUACUUUUCGUCUAGAGUAUUGUAGAGGAAAGUAGAAUUUCCGGUGUAGCGGUGAAAUGCGUAGAUAUCGGAAGGAAUACCAGAAGCGAAGGCGACUUUCUGGACAAAUACUGACACUGAUACACGAAAGCGUGGGGAGCAAA
rnacentral:rRNA from 1 species